rnacentral:rRNA from 1 species
GACGAACGCUGGCGGCGUGCUUAACACAUGCAAGUCGAACGGAAAGGCCCUGCUUUUGUGGGGUGCUCGAGUGGCGAACGGGUGAGUAACACGUGAGUAACCUGCCCUUGACUUCGGGAUAACUUCAGGAAACUGGGGCUAAUACCGGAUAGGAGCUCCUGCUGCAUGGUGGGGGUUGGAAAGUUCCGGCGGUUGGGGAUGGACUCGCGGCUUAUCAGCUUGUUGGUGGGGUAGUGGCUUACCAAGGCUUUGACGGGUAGCCGGCCUGAGAGGGUGACCGGCCACAUUGGGACUGAGGUACGGCCCAGACUCCUACGGGAGGCAGCAGUGGGGAAUAUUGCACAAUGGGCGGAAGCCUGAUGCAGCAACGCCGCGUGCGGGAUGACGGCCUUCGGGUUGUAAACCGCUUUCGCCUGUGACGAAGCGUGAGUGACGGUAAUGGGUAAAGAAGCACCGGCUAACUACGUG